GCCCGGGUGGCGAAACUGGUAGACGCAAGGGACUUAAAAUCCCUCGGAGGCAACUCCAUGCCGGUUCGAGUCCGGCCCCGGGCACCA
rnacentral:tRNA from 1 species